CAUAGUAAAGAUCAUCAACCCAGUCAUGGUGCAAUUGAAGUUGCCCCAAUUGUUAGGGAAAAUACACCCGGUAUUCCAUAGUAGCCUAUUAAAACCUGUGGUCGGAUUAGUGCUGAGGCCCCUACCUCAUGAGCCCCCAGUUCUCAUGGUCAUAGGAGGCCAAACCCAUUAUGAGGUGCAGCAAAUCCUUGAUUCGAGGUGGCACAGGAGACAACUCCAAUAUUUAAUCAAGUGGAAGGGCUACCCCUUAUCAGAGGCAUCAUGGGUAAAAAGUAGGAACGUCCAAGCCGAUCUCCUUGUAGUAAGGUUCCAUGCAGAAAAUCCAACCAAGCCUGGGUGAGGGGGUUUCAUGAGCAUAACCUUCCAUAUCUGCAAUCAAAUUGAUUUUGUGUGUGUUGUACAGGUCACCUUCAAGAAGUGAGGGGAGCCGAAUGUCAACUCAUAAAACAUUUUGUA